GAAACUUGAAAGCAAAAAUAAAAUUAAAUAGUUUUGAUAAUGAAGAGCACAUUCUUGAAGUUUUUGUUAUUAGUUACUGUUUUAGUCGGUGUCUUCCGACAAAACUAUGCAGUAGGAAGUUAUUGUACUAAAGACAGUGACUGCAAGUUAGUAUGCAUACCACCGUAUGCUUGCAGCUUGACCCGUCACGUUUGUAUGUGUCAUCCUAACGAUAACAAUUCUUCUAAAGAACGUUUUAUUCCAGAACAUAAAGGUUUUGGUAAGAAAAAACUUCCAUAUCAUCAAUUGAAAAUAUAAUGACAAAAAUGGAUAUACAUGUUCUGAAAAAAAUGUUAUUAUAAAAUAAAUGUAAUAUUACUUUUUAAGAUAUCAAAUCGUAAACUACUUAAUUAA